rnacentral:rRNA from 1 species
AGCUCCAAUAGCGUAUAUUAAAGUUGUUGCGGUUAAAAAGCUCGUAGUUGGAUUUCUGCUGAGGACGACCGGUCCGCCCUCUGGGUGAGCAUCUGGCUCGGCCUCGGCAUCUUCUUGGAGAACGUAACUGCACUUGACUGUGUGGUGCGGUACUCAAGACUUUUACUUUGAGGAAAUUAGAGUGUUUCAAGCAGGCGCAUGCCUUGAAUACAUUAGCAUGGAAUAAUGAGAUAGGGCCACGGCGGUCUAUUUUGUUGGUUUGCACGUUGUGGUAAUGAUUAACAGGAACGGUUGGGGGUAUUCGUAUUCAAUUGUCAGAGGUGAAAUUCUUGGAUUUGUGGAAGACGAACUACUGCGAAAGCAUUUACCAAGGAUGUUUUCAUUAAUCAAGAACGAAAGU